UACGUAGGGCGCAAGCGUUAUCCGGAAUUAUUGGGCGUAAAGAGCUCGUAGGCGGUCUGUCGCGUCUGCUGUGAAAACCCGAGGCUCAACCUCGGGCCUGCAGUGGGUACGGGCAGACUAGAGUGCGGUAGGGGAGAAUGGAAUUCCUGGUGUAGCGGUGGAAUGCGCAGAUAUCAGGAGGAACACCGAUGGCGAAGGCAGUUCUCUGGGCCGUAACUGACGCUGAGGAGCGAAAGCGUGGGGAGCGAACAGG
rnacentral:rRNA from 1 species